UAGAUCUAAAAAAAAUGAGAGCUCUCCCACUCUUCUCUGCCUGGUCGUCUCCAAGGAUUCAUCAGUGCCAAACGCACCUCCUCCCCGUCACGGUUCAAGGCUCGGGAAUAAAGGAAGCAAGAUGCGUCCCUCGAUCCGAAUCUACGGAGAAAGGGUCUCCGAUGGCCGAAACCGAAGUACGGAGAAGGCCAGUUGGCGUGCGGUGCUACAUACGGAGGUACGGAGAGGCCUUAGGAAUGUAUGGCGGCUGAAGGUUGCAGCGCAAAGGUGGAAACCCUAGGGUUUCGUGUUGGUGUUUUGAUUUUGGGCCUUGUAUUUCUGGGCUAAUGCUUAGGUUAUAAUUGGGUUAAUUUGGGCCCUUUUUUUGAUGUGUAAAUGGACUUGGACUGUUUUAUUAUUUGGAUUUUUUUUAGCUUUAUUAUUUAUUUUAAUUUUAGUUUUUCUUCAUGCCCGGGCAAAUUUGAGUCCUUACACCUUCAAUGUGUUUCAAGAAAAGACCCUUUUUGUUCUCCGAAA